AACGAACGCUGGCGGCAUGCCUAACACAUGCAAGUCGAACGAGACCUUCGGGUCUAGUGGCGCACGGGUGCGUAACGCGUGGGAACCUGCCCUUAGGUUCGGAAUAACUCCCCGAAAGGGGUGCUAAUACCGGAUAAUGUCUUCGGACCAAAGAUUUAUCGCCUUUGGAUGGGCCCGCGUUGGAUUAGCUAGUUGGUAGGGUAAAAGCCUACCAAGGCGACGAUCCAUAGCUGGUCUGAGAGGAUGAUCAGCCACACUGGGACUGAGACACGGCCCAGACUCCUAGGGGAGGGGGCAGUGGGGAAAAUUGGACAAUGGGCGAAAGCCUGAUCCAGCAAUGCCGGGUGAGUGAUGAAGGCCUUAGGGUUGUAAAGCUCUUUUACCCGGGAUGAUAAUGACGGUACCGGGAGAAUAACCCCCGGCAACCCCCGG
rnacentral:rRNA from 1 species